rnacentral:tRNA from 1 species
GCACUAGUGGUCUAGUGGUUAGGAUUUGGCGCUCUCACCGCCAAGGCCCGGGUUCGAUUCCCGGUGUG